rnacentral:rRNA from 1 species
UACGUAGGGGGCGAGCGUUGUCCGGAUUUAUUGGGCGUAAAGCGCGUGUAGGCGGCUUUGCAAGUCGGGUGUGAAAGCCCUCAGCUCAACUGAGGAAGUGCGCCCGAAACUGCAGAGCUUGAGUGCCGGAGAGGGUGGCGGAAUUCCCCAAGUAGAGGUGAAAUUCGUAGAUAUGGGGAGGAACACCGGUGGCGAAGGCGGCCGACCUGGACGGUAACUGACGCCUGAGACGCGAAAGCGUGGGGAGCAAACAGG